UUUGAUCCUGGCUCAGAUUGAACGCUGGCGGCAGGCCUAACACAUGCAAGUCGAGCGGCAGCACGGGAAGCUUGCUUCCUGGUGGCGAGCGGCGGACGGGUGAGUAAUGCAUAGGAAUCUGCCCGGUAGUGGGGGAUAACCUGGGGAAACCCAGGCUAAUACCGCAUACGUCCUACGGGAGAAAGCAGGGGCUCUUCGGACCUUGCGCUAUCGGAUGAGCCUAUGUCGGAUUAGCUGGUUGGUGAGGUAAUGGCUCACCAAGGCGACGAUCCGUAGCUGGUCUGAGAGGAUGAUCAGCCACAUCGGGACUGAGACACGGCCCGAACUCCUACGGGAGGCAGCAGUGGGGAAUAUUGGACAAUGGGCGCAAGCCUGAUCCAGCCAUGCCGCGUGUGUGAAGAAGGCCCUCGGGUUGUAAAGCACUUUCAGUGGGGAAGAAAGCCUUCCGGUUAAUACCCGGGAGGAAGGACAUCACCCACAGAAGAAGCACCGGCUAACUCCGUGCCAGCAGCCGCGGUAAUACGGAGGGUGCGAGCGUUAAUCGGAAUUACUGGGCGUAAAGCGCGCGUAGGUGGCUUGAUAAGCCGGUUGUGAAAGCCCCGGGCUCAACCUGGGAACGGCAUCCGGAACUGUCAGGCUAGAGUGCAGGAGAGGAAGGUAGAAUUCCCGGUGUAGCGGUGAAAUGCGUAGAGAUCGGGAGGAAUACCAGUGGCGAAGGCGGCCUUCUGGACUGACACUGACACUGAGUGCGAAAGCGUGGGUAGCAAACAGGAUUAGAUACCCUGGUAGUCCACGCCGUAAACGAUGUCGACUAGCCGUUGGGUCCUUCGCGGACUUUGUGGCGCAGUUAACGCGAUAGUCGACCGCCUGGGGAGUACG
rnacentral:rRNA from 1 species